rnacentral:rRNA from 1 species
CUCCUGAUUGAUAAACAUUUGAGUGAGUGGCGGACGGUGAGUAACACGUGGUAACCUGCCUAAGUGGGGGAUAACAUUUGGAAACAGAUGCUAAUACCGCAUAAAACCUAAACACCGCAUGGUGUAGGGUUGAAAGAUGGUUUCGGCUAUCACUUUAGGAUGGACCCGCGGUGCAUUAGUUAGUUGGUGAGGUAAAGGCUCACCAAGACCGUGAUGCAUAGCCGACCUGAGAGGGUAAUCGGCCACACUGGGACUGAGACACGGCCCAGACUCCUACGGGAGGCAGCAGUAGGGAAUCUUCCACAAUGGACGAAAGUCUGAUGGAGCAACGCCGCGUGAGUGAAGAAGGUUUUCGGAUCGUAAAACUCUGUUGUUGGAGAAGAAUGUAUCUGAUAGUAACUGAUCAGGUAGUGACGGUAUCCAACCAGAAAGCCACGGCUAACUACGUG